GGCCCGCUAGCUCAGUGGAUAGAGCAACUGCCUUCUAAGCAGUGGGUCGCAGGUUCAAUUCCUGCGCGGGCUGCCA
rnacentral:tRNA from 1 species